GAUGAAGAACGUAGCGAAAUGCGAUACUUGGUGUGAAUUGCAGAAUCCCGUGAACCAUCGAAUCUUUGAACGCACAUUGCGCCCCCUGGUAUUCCGGGGGGCAUGCCUGUCCGAGCGUCAUUACAACCCUCAAGCUCAGCUUGGUGUUGGGCCCCGCCGCCCCGGCGGGCCCUAAAGUCAGUGGCGGUGCCGUCCGGCUCCGAGCGUAGUAAUUCUUCUCGCUCUGGAGGUCCGGUCGUGUGCUCGCCAGCAACCCCCAAUUUUUUUCAGGUUGACCUCGGAUCAGGUAGGGAUACCCGCUGAACUUAAGCAUAUCAAUAAGCGGAGGA
rnacentral:misc_RNA from 1 species